UACAGAGGUCUCAAGCGUUGUUCGGAUUCAUUGGGCGUAAAGGGUGCGUAGGUGGCAUGGUAAGUCGGAUGUGAAAUCCCGGGGCUCAACCCCGGAACUGCAUUCGAUACUGCUGCGCUAGAGUACUGGAGAGGAGAUUGGAAUUUACGGUGUAGCAGUGAAAUGCGUAGAUAUCUGGAGGAAUACCGGUGGCGAAGGCGGCAUCCUGGACCGACAUUGACGCUGAUGAGCGAAAGCUAGGGGAGCAAACGGG
rnacentral:rRNA from 1 species